rnacentral:rRNA from 1 species
UAGGGAAUCUUCGGCAAUGGACGAAAGUCUGACCGAGCAACGCCGCGUGAGUGAAGAAGGUUUUCGGAUCGUAAAACUCUGUUGUUAGAGAAGAACAAGGACGUUAGUAACUGAACGUCCCCUGACGGUAUCUAACCAGAAAGCCACGGCUAACUACGUGCCAGCAGCCGCGGUAAUACGUAGGUGGCAAGCGUUGUCCGGAUUUAUUGGGCGUAAAGCGAGCGCAGGCGGUUUCUUAAGUCUGAUGUGAAAGCCCCCGGCUCAACCGGGGAGGGUCAGUGGAAACUGGGAGGCUUGAGUGCAGAAGAGGAGAGUGGAAUUCCAUGUGUAGCGGUGAAAUGCGUAGAUAUAUGGAGGAACACCAGUGGCGAAGGCGGCUCUCUGGUCUGUAACUGACGCUGAGGCUCGAAAGCGUGGGGAGCAAACAGG